rnacentral:tRNA from 1 species
GGCCUCAUAGCUCAGUUGGUAGAGCAUGCGCUGUACAAAAACGUAGGUGGAGUCCAUGAGUUGGUUUCGAAUCCCACCGAGGCUA